UGAAGUGAAUAUGAUAGAUAACAGUCCAGGAAGAGUGAAAAUAAUAAUGCAGUGUUUAAAUGUAUUAGGUGUAAUAUCCUCUCUCCAGUACAGCAGGUGGCAGUAACUGUUCAGCUCCCUCGAGACUCUCCACUAAAACCCACGAAGAAGAAGAAAACGAAAGUAACUGCAGAAAACACACUGAUAGCAAGAGAAAGCGUUGCUCGUUAGAUUUGAUACAUUUCAUGUCCUAGAAAACAUUUUUCAUUUACAAGCUUAGCAAAAAAAGACUUAUAAAUCUCUUCUUAGUGCACAAGACCGCAAGUCACACUGAACAGCAGAUUGUUGUCUCAAACCAGUGCUGAUCAAUGACAGUUCAUCUGCAGUCUGUCAGAGAAGAGAGGAAAGAUGAGUCUCUCACAGAAACAGAGUGUGAACACAUGUAAGGUUUCUCUCCGGUGUGGAUCCUCUGGUGCUGUUUUAGUUCUACAGGAGUAAUAAAAGUCUUCUCACACUCGAAGCACAUAUGAUCUCUCACACCAGUGUGUCUCUUCUGAUGUAGUUUUAAACUCUGUAGAUGUGAAAAACUAUUUCCACUUAAAGAAUGUGAAUGUGGUUUCUCCUUUGAAUUAACUUUUCGGUGACACAUCAGGCCUGAAGCCUGCUAAAUUAUUUCACAUUGAUCACAUUCAUUCAGCAUGAACAAACUGUUUAUGUAUGAUUUAGUUUUAAUAUAGUCUAUCACGGAUACUUUAAAUAAAUGCCAUUAUGAUACUAUGACAGCAUUAACAUGAUCUUAAUGUGUCAAUGAACAGAUCUGAAGUCAUCAGUAUAAUGAAUGAGGUGAAAACAGGAUCUAUUAUCAUGAAAUAAAGAGGAUUUUGAUCAGCUGAUAAUAUUGAUGAGUCUCAGACUAUAAACAUUCAUUAAACAAGACAUUCAGGAUCAGCAGCAGAUCAGCUCACUUUAUUCUGACUGUUUGCUGAUAGAAACUGAUUAAGUGAGGAAUUAAGUAUUACAGUGCUCUAUUGAAAAAUAUUAUGAUUAUUUCUCAAAUGAUACAGAAAAAUACAAAAUCAAAUUAAUUUAGAUUUUCUAAUAAUGACAUAUAUAACAACAAAAUAGUUUCCUAUAACCGUUUUGUAUCUGAAGAGAAGCAAGACAAAACCUUCUUUAUAAGUGUUAACAGGCACACAAAUAGCCAUGUUCUUAUCGCAUUACACAAGCAAAAUAUUCUUAAAGAAAUCUGUAACUAGACACAGUCUUUGAAGCUGAGGUAGAAGAUUGUAUUUAUUUCAUUGUAUUUUAUUUUUAUAGUAUGUGUUCAAUUAUAGUUCUGUGGCUAAAACCACAAUCAAGAUGUUUGUCUAAUCUGUUUAAAAAUACACAGCCAGUGAAGUUGUGUCAUAAAACUGUUCGUGUAUAAUAAAUUAACAUGGUCUUCUCAUUAUAAUGGUAUGUAUAACAGUCCUAGUCAUAGUUAUUAAUAUUCAGCAUUGUUGUUUGUCCUGCUCGUGCUGUGCG